AAAGUCGUAACAAGGUUUCCGUAGGUGAACCUGCGGAAGGAUCAUUAACAAGUCAAAGUGUUUUUCAAUUGGCCCCUCCAGGCCAUUGAAGCACUUUUUUCUUUGUGAACUGGCUCGAUUUCCUCCCCUCUAAAUUGGGGGAGGGGGAAUGACGGCGUCCUUUUUUUACUCUUUUUAUUUUUUAUUGUUUUAUACAAUGUAUAAAGACAACUUUCAGCAAUGGAUCUCUUGGCUCUU
rnacentral:misc_RNA from 1 species